UGUGACAGAAAAGUGUGAUAAAUUUAAGAUUUAUUUAUAAAGA
rnacentral:tRNA from 1 species